rnacentral:rRNA from 1 species
UACGUAGGGUGCAAGCGUUAAUCGGAAUUACUGGGCGUAAAGCGUGCGCAGGCGGUUUUGUAAGUCUGUCGUGAAAGCCCCGGGCUCAACCUGGGAAUUGCGAUGGAGACUGCAAGGCUUGAAUCUGGCAGAGGGGGGUAGAAUUCCACGUGUAGCAGUGAAAUGCGUAGAGAUGUGGAGGAACACCGAUGGCGAAGGCAGCCCCCUGGGACAAGAUUGACGCUCAUGCACGAAAGCGUGGGGAGCAAACAGG